rnacentral:rRNA from 1 species
UAUGCACGCUGGCGGUGUGCCUAAUACAUGCAAGUCGAGCGAACAGACGAGGAGCUUACUCCUCUGACGUUAGCGGCGGACGGGUGAGUAACACGUGGAUAACCUACCUAUAAGACUGGGAUAACUUCGGGAAACCGGAGCUAAUACCGGAUAACAUGUUGAACCGCAUGGUUCAACAGUGAAAGACGGUCUUGCUGUCACUUAUAGAUGGAUCCGCGUCGCAUUAGCUAGUUGGUAAGGUAACGGCUUACCAAGGCAACGAUGCGUAGCCGACCUGAGAGGGUGAUCGGCCACACUGGAACUGAGACACGGUCCAGACUCCUACGGGAGGCAGCAGUAGGGAAUCUUCCGCAAUGGGCGAAAGCCUGACGGAGCAACGCCGCGUGAGUGAAGAAGGUCUUCGGAUCGUAAAACUCUGUUAUUAGGGAAGAACAAAUGUGUAAGUAACUAUGCACGUCUUGACGGUACCUAAUCAGAAAGCCACGGCUAACUACGUG